rnacentral:rRNA from 1 species
GUCGAACGCUUUGUGGUUCAACUGAUUUGAAGAGCUUGCUCAGAUAUGACGAUGGACAUUGCAAAGAGUGGCGAACGGGUGAGUAACACGUGGGAAACCUACCUCUUAGCAGGGGAUAACAUUUGGAAACAGAUGCUAAUACCGUAUAACAAUAGCAACCGCAUGGUUGCUACUUAAAAGAUGGUUCUGCUAUCACUAAGAGAUGGUCCCGCGGUGCAUUAGUUAGUUGGUGAGGUAAUGGCUCACCAAGACGAUGAUGCAUAGCCGAGUUGAGAGACUGAUCGGCCACAAUGGGACUGAGACACGGCCCAUACUCCUACGGGAGGCAGCAGUAGGGAAUCUUCCACAAUGGGCGAAAGCCUGAUGGAGCAACGCCGCGUGUGUGAUGAAGGGUUUCGGCUCGUAAAACACUGUUGUAAGAGAAGAAUGACAUUGAGAGUAACUGUUCAAUGUGUGACGGUAUCUUACCAGAAAGGAACGGCUAACUACGUG